rnacentral:rRNA from 1 species
UACGUAGGUGGCAAGCGUUGUCCGGAAUUAUUGGGCGUAAAGCGCGCGCAGGUGGUUUCUUAAGUCUGAUGUGAAAGCCCACGGCUCAACCGUGGAGGGUCAUUGGAAACUGGGGAACUUGAGUGCAGAAGAGGAUAGUGGAAUUCCAAGUGUAGCGGUGAAAUGCGUAGAGAUUUGGAGGAACACCAGUGGCGAAGGCGACUAUCUGGUCUGUAACUGACACUGAGGCGUGAAAGCGUGGGGAGCAAACAGG